rnacentral:rRNA from 2 species
UUUUAACGGCCGCGGUAUACUGACCGUGCAAAGGUAGCAUAAUCAUUAGUCUUUUAAUAGAGGGCUGGAAUGAAAGGUUUAACGAGGAAUU